CCAAAUCACGUUAAAACACCGUUUUCAGUAAGAAUCCCGAAGUUAAGCAAUGUUGAGCCUGUUCAGUACCUCGAUGGGUGACCGCUUGGGAAUAGCAAGGUGCUGUUG